GUCUGUUYGUCGUCAAAGAACAGUYUGGCCUGCCCACUGAUUUUUUUUAAAGGCCGCGGUAUCCUGACCGUGCGAAGGUAGCAUAAUAAUUAGUCUUUUAAUUGAAGACUGGAAUGAAAGGUCGGACAAAAAGCAAUCUGUCUCAACUUUAAUUUUUGAAUUUAACUUUUAAGUGAAAAGGCUUAAAUAAUCUUGAAGGACGACAAGACCCUAUAAAACUUUAUAUAUCAGGAUCUUAAAUUCGGCUUUAUUUGUCUAUAAAUUAUUUAUUAUCCUAUGUAUUUCGUUGGGGCGACGAAAGUAUAAACCUAACUGCUUUUUUUUAAAACAAUUAUUUUUGGAAUCAACGACCCUUGUUUUAAAGAUUCAAAGAAAAAGUUACUUUAGGGAUAACAGCGUAAUUUUUUUUGAGAGUUCAUAUCGACAAAAAAGUUUGCGACCUCGAUGUUGAAUUAAAUUUCCCUUAUAGUGCAGGAAUUAUACAGGUAGGUCUGUUCGACCUUUAAAAAUUUACAUGAUUUGAGUUCAAACCGGCGCGAG
rnacentral:rRNA from 1 species